rnacentral:rRNA from 1 species
AUUAAGCGCUGGCGGCAUGCCUUACACAUGCAAGUCGAAUGGCAGCACGGGGGGCAACCCUGGUGGCGAGUGGCGAACGGGUGAGUAAAGCAUCGGAACGUGCCCUGGAGUGGGGGAUAACGUAGCGAAAGUUACGCUAAUACCGCAUAUUCUGUGAGCAGGAAAGCAGGGGAUCGCAAGACCUUGCGCUCUGGGAGCGGCCGAUGUCGGAUUAGCUAGUUGGUGGGGUAAAGGCCUACCAAGGCGACGAUCCGUAGCGGGUCUGAGAGGAUGAUCCGCCACACUGGGACUGAGACACGGCCCAGACUCCUACGGGAGGCAGCAGUGGGGAAUUUUGGACAAUGGGCGAAAGCCUGAUCCAGCCAUGCCGCGUGAGUGAAGAAGGCCUUC